CCAUAGUUGAUGGUUGUUAAGUUUUUCUCAACUGGUCAGGAUUUCUGUAAUUUUGAUGUCACUCGCUUGAAUUCUUCUUUGCGGAUGGAUAUUUUUGAUGAUGGGCAUUUUUGUUUGGUGAGAAUCUUAGGGUUCACUGUAGUCUUCCAUUGGUUAAGGGUUGUUGGACCAUUUUAUCACCUGAUAUUGGAGUCAUUAUUGAUGCUGCGGGUUUUGAGACAAUCCUUAGUUAGUUAACUUUAAUUAACUUCCAAAUGUAAAUUUUAGGCUAGGAACAUCUGUUUUGCAUCAAACAUGUCUACGCUAGGGGCAUUGGCCCAUUGGUUUUCUGUGCAAGCAUGUCUAAACUAGGUCUCUGCUUAUUCAUUUGAAUGUGAGUGUAAUAUUUACUAUUGAGUGUUGGGGUUUCUGCACUUUCUCUAACUCUGCAGGUAGCCUAUAAACUGAUGGUUAUGCAUGAAAAUGUUUGGAAGGGAAGUUUCAGUCUAUUGAAAGACUAAGGGAAACCAAUCAGCAGAAAGCUGCUGUUUAUCAUGUCAGACAGGUUGUGAAUGAUGAUGAUGAUGAUGAUGAUGAUGAUGUCAGCAGAGAUGUCGCCGAUGAGAAUGAUGAUUCGUCAAAUAUGAUGGUGGAUGUACUAGAGUCCGAAUUAAAUUUGAACCCUGUAAAUAUGCAAAUGACCCUAGGCCAAAGGGGGCAGACGAAAUAGAAGAUGGAUGGGUCCAGGUUGCAGGAAGACGGAGAAGGGGUAAAGGAAAUUAGGUUGAAACAAUGGUAGUACUCUUUCGAUACAAAUAAUAUCUCGUCUAUUUAUUUUCAUUUGCUUCUUGUUUCCCUCCAACAGUAUAAAGUUGUCUUAUUGUAAAAGUUUUGGUUUUCCAAUUCUUGAGAAUAUGUUAGAUGAGGUUUUUCUUUGUGCAUACAUGUUUGGAUGCCUUGUGUGAACUCUUUAAGAACCCUGUAAACCAUAGGCGAUGCAUAUCAGAUUAUCCUCGUAUGCUAUUUUGAUUGA